rnacentral:rRNA from 1 species
AGCGAACGCUGGCGGCAGGCCUAACACAUGCAAGUCGAACGAACCUUUCGGGGUUAGUGGCGGACGGGUGAGUAACACGUGGGAACGUGCCUUUAGGUUCGGAAUAACUCAGGGAAACUUGUGCUAAUACCGAAUGUGCCCUUCGGGGGAAAGAUUUAUCGCCUUUAGAGCGGCCUGCGUCUGAUUAGCUAGUUGGUUGAGGUAAUGGCUCACCAAGGCGACGAUCAGUAGCUGGUCUGAGAGGAUGAUCAGCCACAUUGGGACUGAGACACGGCCCAAACUCCUACGGGAGGCAGCAGUGGGGAAUCUUGCGCGAUGGGCGAAAGCCUGACGCAGCCAUGCCGCGUGAAUGAUGAAGGUCUUAGGAUUGUAAAAUUCUUUCACCGGGGACGAUAAUGACGGUACCCGGAGAAGAAGCCCCGGCUAACUUCGUG